GGAAUAUUGGACAAUGGCCGGAAGGCUGAUCCAGCCAUGCCGCGUGCGGGAAGGCGGCCCUAUGGGUUGUAAACCGCUUUUGCGGGGGAGCAAUAAGGUGCACGCGUGCACCGAUGAGAGUACCCAGCGAAUAAGCAUCGGCUAACUCCGUGCCAGCAGCCGCGGUAAUACGGAGGAUGCAAGCGUUAUCCGGAUUUAUUGGGUUUAAAGGGUGCGUAGGCGGGCUGCUAAGCGUGAGGUGAAAUGCCACGGCUCAACCGUGGGACUGCCUCGCGAACUGGUAGUCUUGAAUGUCCGUGCCGUGGGAGGAAUGUGUGGUGUAGCGGUGAAAUGCAUAGAGAUCACACAGAACACCGAUUGCGAAGGCAUCUCACGAACGGAUGAUUGACGCUGAGGCACGAAAGCGUGGGGAUCAAACA
rnacentral:rRNA from 1 species